rnacentral:miRNA from 1 species
GUCAGUUUCUUUCCGGAUCAAGAUCAGACUCUGCCCUCCGUGUUCACAGCGGACCUUGAUUUAAUGUCAUACAAUUAAGGCACGCGGUGAAUGCCAAGAGCGGAGCCUAUGGGCGGCUGCACUUGAAGGACACC